CCGGCGCACGGGUGAGUAACACGUAUCCAACCUGUCGUCUACUCUUGGACAGCCUUCUGAAAGGAAGAUUAAUACAAGAUGGCAUCACGAGUCCGCAUGUUCACAUGAUUAAAGGUAUUCCGGUAGACGAUGGGGAUGCGUUCCAUUAGAUAGUAGGCGGGGUAACGGCCCACCUAGUCUUCGAUGGAUAGGGGUUCUGAGAGGAAGGUCCCCCACAUUGGAACUGAGACACGGUCCAA
rnacentral:rRNA from 1 species